rnacentral:rRNA from 1 species
CGCGUUGUACGGUUCGCGGGUCCACCGAAAGGUGCGUACUCGCCCGCAACGCGCUACCUUCCGGUCGACGGUGACACUCUUCACUGAGUGUCAUACGCCUCGUCUGGGACUUUUACCUUGAGAAAAUUAGAGUGUUCAAAGCAGUCGUUUUACGACCGAAUAGCUUAGCAUGGAAUAAUGGAAUAGGACUUUGGUUCUAUUUUGUUGGUUUCUAGGACCAGAGUA